GCCAGGAGCAGCAUCCCCGGCCAUCUGGGUCAAGAUCUUUCCAACCACCGUGAGAAGGAAGGAGGAAGGGGGUAGGAGGGUACCCCCCCCCUGAAAAGUGUAUCAUUUCUCCCCAGAGCCUGCAGGGGAGCCCCGCUAACAGGCCCAUCCUCGGGCCUUCUGGGAGCAGGGGGUGCCCCCCGAGGUGGACAGUUGCUGCCAACCUGCCCUCCGACCAUCCAGCCACCUGGGAUUAGAAAAGCAGGCAGAGAGAGAAGCGGGCCCCUGCUCUCAGUCCCAGGUCCGCACGUCAGCACCCAGCGGUCCUGGCUCUGGCCCGUGCUGGCAUCCGCAGCGUUAGAGUUCAGGACGGUGGAGUCUGCCCUGCCCUGAGAACCGGAGAACACAGCCAACAAGGUGUUUAAUUACUGUGAGCUUCUCUUCUCUCUGCUAUAAGCAGGUAGAAAUUAUGCUGCUUUCCUGAAGGACUUAUGGACACAGGAUGCUUCAGGAAAUCAGGACAGGAGCGCACACGAGGAGCCUGGCUGGUGGUCUUACUGUAGGUGUCGGAGAGGGCGGAAGGGGGGCCGGCCUCAUCGAGCGUCAUCCCGGACAACCUUACCCACUCUCCCCAGUUCGGAUGUGCUCCCACGGGAACCUCAUCCCUGCCCCGUCGUCUCUGGAUGGUCUCGCCCCCUUCCUUCCCUCACGCAACCUUGAUAUUCUGUCUAUUGCGUCCUGCUUGUAUGCCGACCCAGCAAAUAUGAGCCUGGUAGUGGGCUGGAUGAGUCAUUUACCAGGCUUGCCAUGACUGCCCCAGGGUGCUCCUUCCCGGGAACUGGCCUCUGCUUUUCUGACCUCAUGGUUUCCUGGAGCAGCUGCUGAUGGAGGUUAAGGAGUGAUGUCUCCUCCUUUGUUCCAGGGAAAACGCACUCCCGCUCGGCCACGGUGAGCGUUUGUAUCAAACAGGAUUAGGUUCAGCUGCACGUGGGAGAAAACUCAAGAAUGAUCAUCGUCGGUGUCACUAGUAUCAACGACCAUCAUCGUCAUUACGAUUCAUAUCGCUGUCAAAGCUUACGAUGCUACUGUGGGCCAGGCGCCCAAAAAUCCUGGAAUAGAAAGUCUAAUUAGCCUCAUUUUACAUAUGGGGAAACUGAGAUAAGGAGAGGUCAAGAAACCCAUCCAAGGUCUCAGGGCUAGUGAGAGGAGGCGCUGAGAUAUACUCAGUGUGUGCUCUGAACUUCGCUGUUGUGGUAAAAAAAUAGUGGCUUAAACACUCGAGUGUUUGUUUUUCUCUAAGCGAAGUCUAGAGGCAGGUUGGGGCUGGCAUGGUGGUUCCAUUGUCAUAGGGAUCCAGGCUCUUUCUGUCUUUCUGCUCCGUCAUCCUUGGCAACAGCGUCCGUUCCCUUGGUUGCCUCAUAAUCCAAAGUGGCUGCUGGAGCACAGGCCAUCAUACCUGUUUUCCACAUAUGAGAAAGAGGUGAGGGGCAACAACAGGGAAAUCUUCUGGAUGACCCAACUCCCUUAAGACACCCCCACUUGUAUCACAUUCACUACAACUCCGUCCUGCGCCACGUGUAACUGUCAGGUUGCAAAACGGAGCUGUUAGAAGUGGGCUCGUUGCCUGUACAUCUAUAAUGGGCUCCAUUCCCAAGAAGAGGGGGGAAAGGGCCCUGGGGAGAAGAUGGCAUCCCUGCAGCAAAGCGGAAAGGUCAGUGCCUUUCUUUGUAUUUUCCACUCUCGGUCAACUCCCAAGGGGCAAGCAGGGGGUGGCCCCAUCCUCUUGUCCAUCUGAUUUUGGGGGACGCUCACCAGUGUAGACCAGCUCUCCCCAUCGGCUCUCCUUUCGAGCUCCCUGCCCCAGCCCCACUGGAGAUGAGGACCCGCAGCAUGUCCAUAGGGGGGUCCCAUUGACCGCUGGAGGAGACGGGGUCUUGAAUUUGGAGUGGGAAGCUGGACUUUAAUCUAGUCUCUCAUGAUUUCCUCCCUUUCGUUCUCCGUCUCGGGAGGAAUGGGGUCCAAAUUUCUCCUAGGUUUACCCACCCUGGGAGCAGGACCCAGCGCCUGUCGGGCUCCGAUCCAGAUGUUUGGCAACCAGAGGACCUCACUGUUGUUCCUCCCACUACUGACGCCUACCACCCCUGGGAUGGCUUCUGUGCAUUGGCAGAGCAACGUCUGCUGUCUUCUGUGGGGAGACAGAGGAGCCUGGCGACGGUCCGGGUUGUCAGAGGGUAGGGGAUGGAUGCAAUGUGGAAACGGCAGUGGAGCGUUCUGCUCUUCAAAGAUCGGUGAUGAAGGGGCGCCCAGGUGGCUCGGUCGGUUAAGCGUCCGACUUCAGGUCCGGUCACGAUCUCAUGGUUUAUGGGUUCGAGCCCCCUUGCGGGCUCUGUGCUGACAGCUCGGAGCCUGGAGCCUGCUUCGGAUUCUGUGUCCCCGCCCCCCUCUCUGUCCCUCCCCCGCUGACGCUCUGUCUCUUUCUUUCUCAAGAAUAAAUAAACCUUAAAAAAAAAUUAAAGACGGGUGGUGAACAGCCUAGAGCCUGGUGGUCAGAUCAAUGUCACUUUGCCACCUUCUAGCUGUGUGAGUGAAGCAAGUUAUCUACCGCCCUGUGCUUAUGGAAUAUCAACAGUGACAGCGUCUACCAGGUAAGGUUGCCGUGAGUCCCUGGCACAUGGUAAGUGCUCAGUAGAUGCGAGGAGGAAGGUGAUGGUGGCGGUGAUGCUGAAGAUAAUGGGGGUGGAGGUAGUGGUGGGAAACAGGUCUCCUUGGAUGCCUUUGUGAUUCCUGAAACACAGUGUAACUCUGGUUAAGUCUCUAGAGUUGAGACAAAGCAAGUAAUAAGUGCUCUGUUAUCAUUUUCUCAUUCUGUUCAGACUACCUAAUUGUCCUUGAGGAAAACGCUUGUUUAUCAAACUGAUGCUGGUUCUCUUUCUUAGACAUUGUGAUGGUUUCUGCCUCCGAGGUAAUAAUCUCCUGGUUGUGGUGGUGUUUCCUAGGAUGACUUUUGGGGGGGAUCCUUUUAAGACGCUAAGGGGCUCUAUGAGGAUAGUUCAAGAACCUAUUAAGUUGACAAAAAUUUGUUUUAAGGCAGGAAAAAAGCUUCAGCUGUGAAACCCACGCAAUAAGUACAUGAAGGGCUUCAUUAGUUAUCUUAACUCACUGAGCAUCCUCCCGGGGCCGUUAGAGGUAUAUGAUGUGACGUUAAUGUCGUCUGAGGGGGGUUCCUGAUUAUGCUUUAAGGAAAUCUGACUUAGGAUUACUCCAGACAUGGUUUCCUAGGUCCGUUGGUUUGUUUGGGUUGUGAUUUUUGUUCACAGGUCCUUUCUCCUCCAAAAUCUGCCCAAUCUACACGAGUCUGAGAGCUGGUGCUGGCCAGGAUGUGGGUUUCUCACAUGGGUCCUACGGGCAAGGAUGGGUGUUCACCCACCAUGCUCUGCUUUCCAGGUUGCAGGUGCAGAAGAUCCAGGGACCACAAACCCUUGGGCUGCCUUUCUGGGUCCGGCCUGACACGAACUCUGAUGUUGGGUAAUUCUAGGGACUGGAACUAGGAUGAGUCUUAACGUAACCGAAAAAGCUGCUCGUUUGUGCCGAGUGACUUCCGCAGUCACACAGGGCUUCCCCGGUUAGUGAUGUCACCCUGGCAGAUAGGGUUUCUAGAAGUGACUGAACCUGAAAGUCUCUAAUCAACUGACGUACAGAGGCUGAGGCAUCACUGGCACCGAAGGUGGAGACUUUUGUGGUCAAGCACGUGGCUUUUGCAAAUGCCUGUUCCGUCUGGCGCCCUGAAACCUGUUUUCCAGCCGCCUUGUGAUGUCAUCCAGCUGUGCUGUGCAUGUUGCGGCUUAAGAGGAGAACCAACUCACUGGACAUCCUCACAUCUGAGGGGUAGAAAGGAUGUCAGCAUCGCACGCAUGGAGUUGUGGGUCAGAAGCGGCUGCCUCCCCACGAGGUCACAGCUGGUCUUAGUCCUUCUGUGACAGAGACAAGGGCUUGUGGAGGGUUGCUGGUGGGUGUGGAGGGUGGGGACUCUGCCGGGAGACAGGGACAUAAGGUGUGGCCGAAGUCCCGGCUGAAGGAGAGCUUCACCUACAUAGCUUUCUCUUCCCUCCACAUUAUGCUCCGAGGCUGGCUGCAUAGACAGAUGCCGUCUUCCAAGUUCACCCUUCACCCCUCUGCCGUGUGUACGGACUCCGAGGCUCAUCAGCUUGAGCCAUACGAGGUCCAUUUUGGAAAAUAGGCUGCAGUCAUUUGGAAAGAGGUUUCUAGACCUUCUUAUGAGAAUCUUUAAGUAGCUGAGCCAAAAGCCUGUGUGUCCGUCCUGCCUGUUCUAGGGUUCCUGGAGACCUCUGGAGAAAGGUGAAUGUCUUUUUCACCAAAAGCUGCUCACAGCCACCCCUGGGCUUACUACUAAUUCCUUCUUAAGUCUGUCCCGAAGGGCCUCCCUAGCAUAGGGCCAGCUGCUGGGCUCAAGUAAUAUGUUUUAAUCAGCUGCAUUAAGCUUUCCCAUUUUCAGACAUUUUAAAGUAGCUGAUGAGACUCAAGGCGUCAGCUGUCCAGAGGGUCGACUUUGUGUCUGGGCAACAAUCUGUGAAAGUAUCCAUGACGUGGGCAUGUGCCUGAUUCUAGUGAAAGUGUCGGGGAGCCCCUGUAAAAUGUAGAAGAAAAAAAAAAUCUCUGAAAUAUAAGAAAAAACAAACCAUGAGAAGAAAUGCGGGACUUUUAUUGCAAUCGUUAAUAAUCUUGAGGUUAACAAUUGAACUCAUUCAGGAAAAUAUUUUGCGUUUAGUGAUUUAGAGCCCAGGGCUACAUGACAGAAGUAGCUAAAAGUACACGAGAAAAAAUGCACCUUGGGAAACAGCCUGGCACCCGGGGCCGCAAAACUAAAAAGUAUCAAGGAAAAGGAUGCGUCUUAAUUUCUGUAGCAGACGGUACAAUGGUCCGCCCAGGCCGGACCCAGCCCUGGGAGGUGGCUGCUUACUCACUGUGCUCUGCGACAUAUGCCCCCCCACCAGCCAGCCCCCCCCCCCCCCCAGCGCCCUCCCCCCCCAGUCUGCAGCCCUGCAAGCCCGAUGAUACCAACAUCUCCACGGCUAAGAAAUACUAGAUGUGAUGACAGGGCACCUUGAGGGUUAUUCGCUGGCCCUCAGCAAAUCAGCGAGCAGAGAAAGCAAACCUGCCUUUAGAAGGUGAAGCAGCGUUGGGCUCCCCGCUCGGGGAAGGGCGAGGGGCCGGUCUGAUGAGGUCACGGUUCCCAGCUGGCAGGUGCGGCUUUGGUAAGGGCAUCGGGCGGCCGGCGGCGGUGGCCUCCAGCAAACACGGCCGUCGGCGGUGGUCGGUCAGGGCCCGGACGGCACAGCAUCCGAGUGGACCGGCCCUUUGGCUUUUCGGAACAAUAAAGCACUUGACCGCCGUGAUACCAAGAGCCAUCCAGGGCCGCUCCGGGCAGGAAGGACGGGCUGCAAGAGUAGGACCGUCCAGCUCGCACAGGUGAACGGGCCCGGCAAACCGCACGCGGGCAGAAGAAACUCAGGGCAGUGGGACUGACAGGUGUUUUCUAGCUCACGUGGAACACGGUAUUUCUACGUUCUUCUAGGCAGAGUUUCAUCUGCUCUUUCCACAACGCUCUUGCUUUGGUGUUCCAGAACUAGCUUUACGUCUACUCCUCCACCGGUCGGUGGUCACUUCUAGAACUCAAAAGCGGCUCUAGAGGGGAUGACGAGAAACGCAGGUUUGCCUGAUUGCCCCGCUGGAGGCGGUCUGGAUCGGGGCCGUGCCGGGUUUGGGACGCACACGGAGAUCUCAUUCUGGAGCUGUUCCCUUUGCACAGACGGUCUACGAUCUCCUUCUCCAGAAGGUGGCUCCUGGGAUUAAAAAGCCAUUUCAAAGACGGGAGCUUCUCUUUGGCUUUUCCCAGGAGUACCUGGUGUCCCCCUACAGCGACCCCCUGUCACACGGGAAGGAGAAUUCAGUAACGCUGGUGCCACUUUCAAAAGCCUGCCUUGCCCUGCCUUUCUGAAACGCGUCCCCUAGGUGUUAAGACGCGUUGUCCUGUUACUAAAAAGCAUGAAAUGGUCCACUUUCCCUCCAGCCUUAAUCUCGUCCUCCCAAACCUGCGCCCUCGACGACUGCUGACGUACAAGUAAAGCUGGGCUUUGAACACUUCACUUAGGUCUCGGCAAGUUCUGCUAAAGGCACGUACAGGGGCACGCUGACCCUCAAACGACAUCAACCAGGACUCCCUGCAAACGAGGUUUGGGGUCAGAUCCUUUCUAGUGUCAGACACGGAAAUUUAAGGCAAAGGACGGGGCGCUUCACUUUGUCUUAGAUUUCCCAGGGGAGCAGCGGGUUGAAGAAAACGCCAAUUGUCUCUGCCGGGGAGAUACCAAAGGUCGGGAUAUCAAGGCACUGCUGGUGGGGGCGCUGGGGCCUCGCCGUUCACUUGCGAGGCUGCUGGAUGUGCUGGGUUCUCGGGGAGGGGUGCUUGUCCAUGGAGGCGUGGGGCUUCUGGUGAGCCACCUGGGCGGCCGCCGGCGGGAAGUCUUUGUCGCCCUGUCGGGAGACAGAAUGCACCAGCUCACCAACACUGAACAGCGGGGUAACGCAAGAACAAAGCCCCCGACCCCACGUCCUCUGGCUUCCCCGUAGGGUGGGCAGUGGGCUGGGGAACCUGCUGGCAGGUAGAAGGCUGUCUCCUGGGACCGUGGGGGUCCUGAAGCUGUCUGGGGUGCUGAGGGGGGCACCCAGAGGAUGACAAUGCUGUCUGCCCCCCUUGCCGUGAGCUCAGGUCUCCAUACGACUCGCUCAGGACUAAGCCGGUAUUGGGUGGCUUUCUUCUGCGAGAACUGUGACCUCUACAUCCAGGGACAAAACAGAACCAAAUCCAGUGUCCUAAUUCUGAUCUGCUGCCAUGACCGAGUCAGGGCACUUGUUGGGAAGGAGACACAGCCAGGGCAGGGCUGAAAGCCGUGAGAUGAAGCCAGAUCCAACCUGCUGAGUCUCACAGAAGGCACCCAGCUGUUUGUCGGGGAGGAAAUGCCUUCCUGAGACAACAGUGCAUGUGUGAUGGUGGCUGGGGCCCAGACCACGGCAAGCAGGCUGGAGCCCUGAUGUGCAAGGGCUGAGCUGUCACCAUGGGGUGACUCUGGCCUUGUGUCAGCAUUUAAUUUUCUUUUGUGUAUCUGAGGAGCCACCUGUGUGUUCCCCGGGGUCCUGGGGCUCCGUGGUGAGCUGUGUCCAGCAAGAGCAUUUUCUUAAGUCCUCACGUGCUAAGGGCUCGGAUGUACUAUGAGCCACAGGGCUAUGGUUGGCACUGCUGUGCCCUCCCUCAAAGGAGAGUGUGCUGCUGGGUCAUUAAAGGAAAAUGUUGGGGGACACCUGGGUGGCUCAGUCGGUUAAGCACCCGACUUCGGCCCAGGUCUUGAUCUUGCGGUUCAUGGAUUCGAGCCCCGCGUUGGGCUCUGUGCUGACGGCCCAGAGCCUGCCAGCCUGUUUCGGAUUCUGUCUCUGUCUCUCUCUGCCCCUCCAUUGCUCACACACACUCUCUCUCUCUCUCAAAAAAUAAACAUUAAAACAAAAUUUUUUUUUAAAGUUGGGUUUCACCAGAAGUGGGGCUCUUGAAAAGUAAAGGGUGCGACAAAACCCCCGUGAAUUUAGUCUGGGGGCGGCAGACAUUUGUGGUAACGGGCCAGACAGUAAAUAUUUCGGGCUUCGUGGCUCAGAUGCCACUGUAGCAGGAAAGCAGUGUAGACACGCAUGAAUGGGUGUGGCCGUGUGCGGCUAAAACCGCAUCCACAGCUAAAAGGCAUCCACGGACACCGGGAUGUGAAUUUCAUGUCAUUUUCAUGUGUCACAACAGCUAACUCUUAUUUCGAUUCUUAUUAAGUCUUGUUUUGCUGGGGAGCAGCCGACCCUAGUUGAGUUGAAAGAGAAGGGGGAGCACGAGGAAGGCGGGGGGCAGGCAGCUCCGGCUCCUCUGUGUGAGCCCUGCUGGCAGUGCUCGCCACACAGUGCUUGCUGUGGAAGUGCUCCACGGACACGACACAGCCUCUGGACCAGGGGCCUCUGGGCCCCGACGGAUGAACGAAUGGGGUCUAACAAAGACAGGAGGAGUCCCACAGCGCACCGAGGGUUUGGCAGAAUGGUUCUUACCCGGGCGAUCACACCGGAGAUGAACACGGUUGGUUUGGGUGGGCUGCAAGACAAGAAGGGAAAAGGCAAUUUCAGGGAACAACUCACAGAAGUGGAGGGAGGCAGGCAGCGCUAACUGGAGGAGGUGGGUUUGGGGGAGUGUAACAGACGGUAACCCGGGAGGAGGGAGGAAGGGGCAGCCGACCUCCUCUAGUAUCGCAUCCCACCCCCUGCUGGCCAUUGGGGUCCUUCUCCUGAGGCUGAGUUCGGGCAGGAGCAGGAGACCAGCAGGCAGCAGUUGAGGCCUGUGCUUUCUUUUGUUGUCGUUCGGGGGGCUGUCCCCAAAUUGAGGCUAGGGGCAAGCCCAGGUGUUUUUGUUUCAAGAGACGAUGGACACAGGUGCUUCCUGAGGCAGGGAAGAAACAGGGCUGAACUUGGAGACCCCCACUAAGGAGGCAUUCUUCCGGGGCCCUCACAAGGUCCGCGGCUUCUUUCUGGCAGCUUCUAACGGGUGAGAUCCCAGGGCCGAUGCAAAAGCUCCUGGCCCCUAGGAGACCCAAGUAUUAAAAAUGCAGGGUCCUUGAGAAGCUAUUGUCAUUUCUUAACAUCUCAAGUCAUACUGAGCUCGCCCACCUGUCAGCAAGACUGGGGAGGUGGGGGACAGGACCAAAGCAGUAACUGUGCAUUGCUGAAACGCAGACAAGUUCAAACAUGCUGAAGUCAGUUGUCAUUCUACCAAGUGGAAAUGAUCGCAGUUAAUAGUUGGAUAUCCAUCCUGUGUUUCUUUCUGUGGACAGACACACUUGUUUUCAUAUUAAACUUCUUACAAAAGAGUCACGUUGUUUUCUGUAUUUAGGAUACGCCGAGCAUACUUUCACGUUAGCAUACACUCUCCUGUGCAUUUUCAAAAGUGGCUGCACGUCAUUUAAAAGUGGCUGCCAUCAUUUAAAAACAUGAGAACACAGUUCCAGGGAGUACACAGGUGUGCACCCCCUGAAUGCCUCCACCAGAGGUGAGGGGACCGGGGAGCAGGAGGUGAAUACAACGCCAGCCUGGCAGGGAGAGGGUAACGGGGGGUGCGGGCGGCUCCGGUGGGUGGACAGCCUUGCUGGGCAGACAGAGGGGGGUCCAUCCCGUGAGCUGCCCAGCUCGCCUCCCACCUGCUCUGCCGGGCAUCCUGGGAAGGAAACCACUUGUCUUAGCUUUGUUUUGCCGCAGGCAAAAGUCCCAGUAUUCGGUAAGUUCACUGUUUAUAUCCCUAACAGUUGAGCUAAAAUACCCCAAAUUCCCCCAAGUGAUUUCUGUCACUUCAGGAGACUAAGAAAUUUCAAGUCUUACUAAGCAGCACAGAAACGUCCCCUACGUGGCUGGUUUUCUUUCGCUUUUGCUGUGUGCUUAAAUGGGUUGAUUUUUUUUUUUCUUUUAUUACACAUAUGAUUUGGCUACAGGAUCAAUAGCCAACCAGAGAUGAAUGAAUUCAACGCAAGUGUGAGUCCCCCACGUAGUGUAUUUGGAUUCUAACAUUUCAUAAAUGUUUUAGAAAGGAAUAUGGUCCUGGCACCAUAAAACUUUCUUACAUUUUGAAUGUUCCUUUAAAAAUCUAGGAAGAGGGGCACCUGGGUGGCUCAGUCUUCGGCUCAGGUCAUGAUCUCGUGAGUUCGAGCCCCGCGUCGGGCUCUGCGCUGACAGCUCAGAGCCUGGAGCCUGCUUUGGGUUCUGUGUCUCCCUCUCUCUGUGCCCCUCCCCUGCUUGUGCUCUGUCUCUCUCUCGAAAAUAAGAUUAAAUAAACCUUAAAAAAAUUAAAAAUAGAUAAAAAAUAAAAAUCUGGGAAGAGCCUAAAGUAGGGACGGUUCCAUUUCGUCAACUAAUCACACGGCAUCACCUUCCAGGGAGGCACCGCCAUUGUUUUGUACCAAGAGCGUAUGAUUGCUUGAAUCAUCUCCACUUUUCUUGGUUUUGUAACCUCAGUCAAGGCUCUUAAAGGCAGUAGAGACAGCUCCCUCCCCUCAGCAAGAACUGGGUGAGAAAGUCACCCACAGAGAGUGAAUCUGGUCAGAGUAAAUACACCGUAGAGUGGCUUCCCUGGUCCAAAGUGAGCCCCAAAAGGUGGCCGAGGAAGCGUGAGCCAUUAUCUAUAUAGAACACGUAUGCCUGGGCGUCCGGGUGGCUCCGUUGUUUAAGUGUCCAAUUUCAGCUCAGGUCAUGACCUUGCAGUUUUUGCGUUCGAGCCCCACAUCGGGCUCUCUGCUGGCAGUACAGAGCCUGCUUCAGAUCCUCUGUCCCCCUGUCUCUCUGCCCCUCCCCUGCUCGUGCUCUCUCUCUC